GACGAACGCUGGCGGCGUGCCUAAUACAUACAAGUCGAGCGAGUCUGCCUUGAAGAUCGGAGUGCUUGCACUCUGUGAAACAAGAUACAGGCUAGCGGCGGACGGGUGAGUAACACGUGGGUAACCUGCCCAAGAGAUCGGGAUAACACCUGGAAACAGAUGCUAAUACCGGAUAACAACAGAUGAUGCCUAUCAACUGUUUAAAAGAUGGUUCUGCUAUCACUCUUGGAUGGACCUGCGGUGCAUUAGCUAGUUGGUAGGGUAACGGCCUACCAAGGCGAUGAUGCAUAGCCGAGUUGAGAGACUGAUCGGCCACAUUGGGACUGAGACACGGCCCAAACUCCUACGGGAGGCAGCAGUAGGGAAUCUUCCACAAUGGACGCAAGUCUGAUGGAGCAACGCCGCGUGAGUGAAGAAGGGUUUCGGCUCGUAAAGCUCUGUUGUUGGUGAAGAAGGACAGGGGUAGUAACUGACCUUUGUUUGACGGUAAUCAAUUAGAAAGUCACGGCUAACUACGUG
rnacentral:rRNA from 1 species